CGAGAUUUACAGGUUGGUUAACGAUCGGGGCUCUAUUGUUCUCCAAUGCGAAGAUAGUGUAGAUGCGGAUGGCGUUUGAAUGAAGAAUCGGUGGCCGGCGAGCGAGGAAAGUAAAAAAGCGCAGCUUUGAAUACAAAGAAACAAACUUGGUCGCCUACCUAGCCACAAAACCGAAAGUAAAAGUCCUCCGAGCAACAAGCCGAAGAAUAAACGAAAAUAGUGCGCUCAGAGGCAACCGACAAGUAAAAGGUCUCGUAGUGAGACAGGGGGAACAUCCAAGGAUGAGAAAUGGCUUCAAUGAACGAAAGGCGAAUCAGAGACGUUCGUGAUCUGUGGACGGCCAGUUCAAGGGAGGCAGAGAAAGAAAACCCGCGAGUUGUGCUAGAAGGCAAUGUGGACAACAAUCGCACGAAACACAAGUAUAAAACCCUGGAACGACACUUGAGUAUGAAGAAAACGAUCCGGAAGAAAAUGAUGCGAGAUUUGAGGGAGAUUGGGGACGCUGCCGCGCAAGAGAACCAAAAUCAGCACGCGGCUUUCCUGGAGCAAAUCAAGAAUGACCAGCCGCCGCCCGAAAAUCUGGAAAAACCCAGCUUAUGGAGAAGGCUGACGAAGGGCUGGAGCCAUUGAACCCUCCACUCGAUCAGGCCGUUGUUUUACUUAUAUUAGUUUAUAUCAUUCUCGUGAUACUUUGCAGUUUUGUUUUCGAUCCCUAGCUUUAAGUUUGAUGCCUGUUCCUAAUAUUAUACUGAUGUGUGUUUCUUGUAUUA